rnacentral:lncRNA from 1 species
CUUUUUAGGGCCGCACCCACAGCAUUUGGAGGUUCCCAGGCCAGGGGUUGAACUGGCCCACACCACAGCCACAGCAACUCACGAUCCGAGCCUCCUCUGCGACCUACACCACAGCUCACGGCAACACCAGAUCCUUAACCCACUGAGUGAGGCCAGGGAUCGAACCUGUGUCCUCAUGGAUGCUAGUCAGCUUCCUUAACCACUGAGCCACAACAAGAACUCCUCAUGCAACUCUUUUAUGGCUAAAUUCACUGAAUUAAGCUGGUUUUCUCCUUCCUCACGCUCGCCCAAGGUCCUGAAGCUCCUCCUGCUAACUGGCUGCUCCACUUUAGAAAUGCCUUCAUCCUGAUUGUAAAGGGAGCGGGCCCUUGGCUAAGUCAGGGAGAGUCGUGCGGACUGGACCCGAGUAAACCCAACACAGACAGGCCCAGCUGUUCCCAAGAGCGGGAGUGGACCCGACUCCUGGCGAAGCGCAGCAUCUCAUUAACGCAGCUACCCCCGUCUGGACACCCGGCUCUUCCCCGAGCACAGCCCCUCGGCACCCACCAACGAGGGGGAGACGGGGCCGGCCCCAAGCCAUUUAAGGUCCGGUCCAAAGAGCAUCCUCCACACCUCGGAAGGACUCCGCCCCCAAUUAGCUUCCGAGGAGAUUCCUAUUCAGGGAACAUCAGAACCAAGCAAGACAAGAGCGGCCGCCGAGCCCGGCCCCAAGCUGGUCAGCAGACGGCCUCGGUGUGGCGGGUAAGGGCAUCCAAAGGAGAAGGCCCCGGGACCUCAGCUGGCCGAGGGGCCUGGAGCUGGCCUUCCUUCCUCCUGCUUCAUGGGAGCCCCCACCCUGAAUGAAUAAAGUAGUUCCUUAUCCGUGGCCCGUCCCAGCACGGGAGGCACAGUGGUGCAGCCCACGGGGUCCAGAUGGUCCGGGGCCGAGCAGGCUCUGAAAACAGCAAAGUUUGGACUUCUGUGCAUUUCCGCAGGGCCCAGCAUGUGCACACACAUGGGGGGCGGGGAAUGCAGGGGGCACCGGGCACUGCAGAGCUGAUGUGGCCACUGGCCCAGGUGAGCCAGGAGCUGCGGAGAAAGGAGCUGGGCUGACUGGCCAGAGGGCGGCAGCGCUGAGGGGUCCUCAGGCAGCAACUGGUCCCUUGAGGUUGGGCACUGUGGCUUGCACAGUGCGGGUGGCUUGUCCACGGUCACACAGAAGGUCUGGGGGCAGCGUCUUCGCUCCAGGCCCAGGCUCCCUCUGUCACACUGCACAUUCUCCAUCACUUCCGAGCCAACGAACUCAUCUUUGAUUCUGGGGUUUGGGGCCAGGAAAGGCGGUGUCCUUUCUUGCACUGGAAUGCCUCCUCUCCGAAUUGGAUUUUCCACACACAGUCUAGUGCCCUGAAAGAACAUUCUGUGUUGCUAAGUUUCAUAUCUGCGCUGUGCUGCAUGACAGUGAAAAGCCAUGUAGCUCCUGAGCUCCUGGCAGUGCAAGCGGAGAAGUAAAUUCUUAAUCCUGUCUUGUUUUAAAUUUAAAUAACCAUCAUUGUGUCAAUUAUCCCUCCACAGAGCUGGGGGAAGUUUAAACAGUGACACGUGGGGAGUGGCUGUCACACUGGCCAGCGCAGGGCUGGAGUACAGAGCAUCCUCAAGGGAAGGGGUCAGCCCAUUUCUUCCCCAAAGGGCUGGGCAGUAAGGGUUUCAGGCUUGUGAACCAUAUGGUCUCUGCGACCACUGCUCAGCUUUGCUGGUGUAGCACAAAGGCAGCCACAGACACAGGUACAAAAAUGGACAUGGCUAUAUGCCAAUAAAACUUUAUUUACGGAAACAGGCCAUGGGCCAGAUGCGGCCUGGGGGCUUAGUUUACCAACCGCAAUAGAGACUUCUUAAUCCCACUCCUGGGCGUCUAUCCAGAGAAAACCAUGACUCGCAAAGACACAUGUACUCCCAUGUUCAUUGCAGCACUAUUUGCAAUAGCCAAGACAUGGACACAACCUAAAUGUCCACCAACAGAGGAGUGGAUCAAGAAGGUGUGGUCCAUAUACACAAUGGAAUAUUACUCAGCCAUUAAAAGGAAUGAAAUACUGGCAUUUUUAGCAACAUGGAUGGACCUAGAAAUUAUCAUGCUAAGUGAAGUCAGCCGUACAAUGAGACACCAACAUCUAAUGCUUUCACUGACAUGUGGAAUCUGAAAAAAGGACAGACUGAACUUCUUUGCAGAACAGAGGCUGACUCACAGACUUUGAAAAGCUUAUGGUUUCCAAAGGAGCCAGUUGGGGGGGUGGGGGGAUAUGCUGGGGGGUGGGAUGGAAACGCUAUAAAAUUGGAUUGGGAUGAUCACUGUACAACUAUAAAUGGAAUAAAUUCAUUGAGUAAUAAAAAAUAAUAGUUAUAUACAUCAAAUGCAUUAUAUUAUAUAGGAGAUAAAAAAAUAAAAUAAAGCACAGGUUGGCAGGCCAAAAAAAACAAAAAAAAAAACUCGGCUUCCUCAUCUAGAAAAAGGGGACAAUCAUAGCACCCACUUCUCAAGGUGGUUAUAAGAAUUAAGUGGGAAUCCUGUGACACCCUCAACACAGGGCCCACACACAGUGGGCGUUUACAAAAGUACUUCGGGGAAAAGCUCUAACUCAAAAAGAUACAUGCACCCCAAUGUCCCGAGCAGCACUGUUUAUAACAGCCAAGACAAGGGCAACCUAAACGUCCACUGACAGAUGAAUGGAGAAAGAUGCGGUGUGUAAGUACAAUGGAAUAUUACUCAGCCACAAAGAAGAAUGAAAUAAUGCCAUCUAUAACAACAUGGAUGGACUUAGAGAUUAUGUUAAGUAAAGUCAGAGAAAGGCAAAUAUUAUAUGCUAUCGCUUAUAUGUGGCUUCUAAAAUAUAGUACGAAUGAACUUAUUUACAAAACAGAAACAGACGCACAGAUAUAGAAAAAACAAACUUAUGGCUACCAAAGGGGCAAGACGGGGAAGGGGGGUGAGUUGGGAGUGUGAGACUAACAGAUGCGCACUACUGUAUAUAAAACAGACACCCACAAGGUUUUCACUGGACAGGACAGGGAACUCUGUUCAGUAUCUUUUAAGAAACGACAAUGGAAAAGAAUUUUUUAAAAAGAAGAAGAUAUAUAUAUACAUACAUAUAUAAAACCAAAUCACUUUGCUAUACACCUGAAACUAACACAAUACUGCAAACAGAAACUAACUAUACUUCAACUAAAAAAUUAAAUGAAAAUUUUAUUUAACUUGUAAUGUCAGGGGACUGGCAACUAGAUAGGUACCGGGUGCCCUGACAAUGUCCUGCUGCUCCCUCCCUCUCCUGAGAGGUGGAACACUAUUAGCCUCAGUCUACAGAGAAGUGGCUGCUUCAAAGUCAAAGGCAAUGAAGUGACAGGACUAGAACCCAGGGCUCUGUUUCCCAGCUCCUUGCCCUAAUUGCUCUUCCUCUCGGGCUUUUCCAGUGGACAUCAAUCAGCCCUGCCCAAGCUUCUGCCGGGCUGGCAUUUGAACCACUUCGUCUGGUAAGAGGCUUGAACCCUCUUACCAGAAGGAAAUGGUUAGGAAAAACAAAGCCAAUUUCCUGAAGGCCCCGUGAUGUCGUGCUCUCCUGAUUCCUGUUCUGUCCACUGUUCUGGAGCCCUUGUCACCCUCGUGGAAGGCUGUCGGUCACCAGGACAUCACAGGACACUCCGAUACUCCGUGGCGGCCCCCCUUUACCGGGCAGGGUCGGGCGCUGCACGGCCGAGUGAUGAUGUGUCUGUCGCUCUUUGCGGCACUGCCGCCCACAAGUCCUCUGAAACCAAGGACUGCUCCCUGGUGACGGGUCACAAAGAGAUGCUUCUGCAGCUCCUUAGAGAGUCGCACAAUCUCACGGGAGCAGGCCCAGCUCAAAUGUGAACUGCGUGCUGGCUUCCAUCUUCCUCCAGGCUCCUCGGAGCAGAAGGGGGCGCCAAGGGCUUCUCCCCCAUCUCACAGCAGGUCUGCGGGGACGUUCCUGAGCAGAGGAGAGGGCGCUCAGGCCCUCGGACACGCCGGCCGUGACCACCAUGCUGGCUUUGUAGCAGCCAGGUGGUUGAGCCAAAACACCAGCAGAGGCCAAGUCUGAGAUGGGCAGCCAGACGGGGCGGGGGGGCCGCAAACCCCUGGGCCCAGCCCUCUCCUUCAGCUCCGGAGAGGGGCUGACAAUCAGAGCCCUUGUCCCAGAGAGCACCCGAAGCCUGGCCAGGCCACUGACUGCCUUCCACGAGGGACUGCCUGGUCUCCCCACAGAGCCACCUGGAAAUGGGGCAGAAGUGGCUGUUCGGUCGCUCACGCGCACGCAGAACUGGUCGGGCGUCUACACACAGGUUCAAAGCCAAGGAGGAGGUCCGCAGGCCAGGAGCUCCUCCAGCCAACACGGAGCAGAUGCCCUGCUGGCUGCGGCUUUCCUUUCGCAGCUGAGCGGAGGGCCCUGUGUGGCGCCCCAGGGCAGAGACGUCCUGGAGCCUUUUCAGCAGCACUCAAGGACAUGCCCAAACGUUAUACAAGUUUAAAAAAUUGAUUAAAAAAAAAAAAUUUGAAUGAUCUACCAUACCCUCUUCAGGCAGCACCCUGGGCACUUGACAGGUUCGGGUCUUGGCCCCGCUCCUGGCAAGCUGGCUCUUCUGCUGCCGUCUGCAGUUCACCUCGUGGCCUCUCUCGCCUCGGCCGGGCCUGAGCGCUCUUACUUUUCUUUCUCAACGGUGGGGGUGUUUGCUAAGCGCGCUGGGAAUCUGAUGGACAGGAGGCUGACCGCCAAACUUAAGGCCACUCGCAGAUAACUUACUUCUCUCCGCAAGACCAGAUGCCCGUGAGCAAAAACCGCAACGAGGCUCGGAAAAGACACCCCAAAAGCCAAGGUGAGCUGCUGAACUGCCGGUCCUCGUAGGCUCAUUAUGUUCCUUCAUUCUCUUCCUCUGGGCCCGAGUCACAUGCCACACGGCCAGUGGGGCCUGGAAUCUG